UGAGUUUCCUCCUUUUUGGAAUGUUCCACUAUGAGUCUAGAUCCUUGGAUAUGGUUUGGGCCACUACAAAACUGAGUCUGAGCUGAAGAUGCUUAAUUUCCUUCUCCUUCUUGAAGCUGGAGAGCAGCAAGGGCUGACCUUUAAGAAAUUCUGCUUAACUGGUGUCUAACAACAGCAAGUAGAGCAAAACAAGCCCAAACUUAUUUGAAUCUUGUGGAUGGAAGUCUGCCAGACCUUGCUAUUUCCUCUUGUUGGUAAUCUCCUGAAGUAAGACAUAGUAAACCAGUGGCUACAUCAAAUCAUCUCAAGUUUCAUCUAUUUCAACAACCACAAAAUGUUCAACUGCCUUCCUCCUGCCUCCUUCACCUAGUUCUUAAUCAACCUCUCAUGUACUUUGGCCUGUUCAUAGCAAGCCUUCCUUCCUGCCACCAAAUCAGAGAACAGACGCUGGCUUCACCACACCAAGGAAAAAGACCAUGGAUUUUACAACUCACAAAGCUGCUAUGCACAGACAACACUCCAGGAAAAUAAUCUGGGAGAUGUUUGGUGGGGAUUUGGGGCUGCACCAUCUGGUUGCCCCGAUGUACCUCAUUGCCACAAAGCCUAGGGACCACGUGAGCAAAAAACUUCCGCGAACACUGUACACUAAAAAUCAUAACCAACAACCAGAGCUCAUUUUGGAGGGGCUACAACACAUAUGCUACAAAGUGCACAUCCAUCACUUCCUGUGAGCAGUGAGAUACAAAAAUUGGCAAGGGAAGAAGUGGUUUUAUUGUUGCCUGGCUUGUUGCCCCUUCUGCUGCCCCCAUCUCCAAAGUAUGUAGGGGCAGCCACGCCCAAAGAGAAGUCCUGCCACCAGGUUGACCAAAGAUGCUUUAAUAAACCGAAGAAAAGAAGCACAUUCUGUUCUCACAAAAUAAUAUCAGUAACUUUUUUUCCCCCAGUCCCAGUGUUUAAAACUAGCCAUCAUAUAGAAA
ensembl:lncRNA